UAGAUUAAGAUAAUCUCAAAUAAUAAUAAUUUUAAAAAUUAGACUAGGUUACAGAUAAUCCAAAACGAAUGUGUUAUUGUUCUCCCUGGUUAGGAAACAACCUUGAAAAAGGAAGAAACUGAGUUUAUACUUACCUAUGACAUAUCAAUUUAAUGGAACAAGUGAGAGUCAAUGAUUAAUCUGGUUUUUCAAUUAAGCUUUAUUUACCUUCAAAAUAUUAGUUGUAUAUUUGAACCUUUUAAGUCAAACAAUUUUCUUAUAAGUUGUUUCAUCCCUUCUCUAAACCACUCUGCCCCAAAAAGUAUGCUUGUUAAAUGUUGGAAUACCAGAAGGUGAACUAGAUAUGACUUAACAACUCAAACCAUCAGUUUGGGCCUAUUUCUGUUAUCACACGAUUUAAAGCUUUUUCUUCAUGGGCCUCAGGCAAUAACCUUCAUCCUGGAGGAUUUCCCUUGAUCUGCAGCAUCCUGUUAGAAGCAAUCCCUGGGUAUAAAUUUUAAACAUCUAUUAACGCUCUCGUUUUGGUUUGUUUCUUUUGUGCCAAGAUAAAUAAACUUUCUCUUUCUCUCUAAUAUUAGUAUUUGAUCAUUGUUCAAGACAGUUAGUUAUUCAUGGUACAAUUAAAAUAGCAAAGAUUUUGGCUUAGUGGGAUCUGAACUCUGCCACUUACUGAUUGUGUGGGAAAAUUCACUUAACCUCACUGUGCCUAAAUUUCCUCAUCCGUAAAAGGAACAGGUACUUGUCAUGGUCUGAACAUCUAUGAAAAUGGGGAGGGGGAUUUCAUGGGCUUUUAGAUGGGCAAUUUCACCUAGAAAGGAAUGUGGAUGAGAUCAGCAAUUAUAAAUGUCACUAAAUAGCUAGGGAUUAGAAAUUAUUUCCUGAGGAAGAUCCGAAGACUUAAAAUUUAGUUUGGCUGACUAUAAAAAGAGAAAAAAGGAAGAGAAAGCAACUUUUCAAGUAUCUAUAUGCCCAACAUAUGCUAGGUUACAUUUACACAUUUUCACCUUGUUUAAUCCUUACAAUCAUCCUACAAGGUAGUUAUUAGUUUGCUGCAUUUUCAGUUAAUCCAUAGACUUGCCAGAGAGUUAUGUCAUGGCCUAGGCCCCUAAGCCCCAAAGAUGAGCUGGACACAACAGAUCCUUGCUGUGGGAGUCAGAAGAGAGAGAGAGAGACAGAGACAGACAGAGAGAGAGAGAGAGGGAGGGAGAGAGAGAGAGCGCGAGAGCGUGAGAGAGAGCCAACUUAGCAAAAGGAGCAGAACUGGAGAGGACCUGAAGAGGAUGUGAUGGCACUUCAGAGUUACAAGGAUGUGGACACUCUUGAUGCAGGAAGAUUGGUUAGUCAAGCAAGAGGAAGAGAAUAAAUCCUAGAGAGAAACUUGGGAGGAAGGGAGGGAGAGGGAGAGAGAAGGGAGAUAUAGAGCUAGUGGGAGAGAGAGAGAUUGAGAGAGAGAGGAGAGAGGCCAUAUGGCUCAUGAGAUGCUUGGGGAAAGAGAGUAUUGCGUUUCCACGGCUGACUGAGGUCCUGUUAAUUCUGCAUUUCUGAGUUAAGUGUGUCCCCACCAGGCAUGUGCUGAUUCAAAGAUGAGAUAAUGGGAGGCUGAGACAGGCAACAGUGAACUAUGAUGAUGCCACUGCACUGUAGCCUGGAUGACAAAGCAAGAUCUGGUUUCUAAAAAUAAAAAUAAAAAUAAAAAUAAAAA
rnacentral:lncRNA from 1 species